UAGUCUCGCACAGAUGCAUAUCAAUAAGCGGAGGAAAAGAAACUAACAAGGAUUCCCCUAGUAACGGCGAGUGAAGCGGGAAGAGCUCAAAUUUGAAAUCUUAAAGGGUUUCCCUUUACGAAUUGUAGUUUAAAGAAGUGUUUUCUGUUGAGGUUUUGGUAAAAGUUCUUUGGAAUAGGACAUCAUAGAGGGUGAGAAUCCCGUAUUUGACCUUUACUUUCAACUUUGUGAUACACUUUCAAAGAGUCGGAUUGUUUGGGAAUGCAGCCCAAAAUGGGUGGUAAAUUUCAUCUAAAGCUAAAUAUUGGCGAGAGACCGAUAGCGAACAAGUACCGUGAGGGAAAGAUGAAAAGAACUUUGAAAAGAGAGUUAAACAGUACGUGAAAUUGUCAAAAGGGAAGCGUUUGACACCAGUGUUGUUUUUCUGAAAGUCAAUUAAAGAACUGUUUAUGCUAAGUUGUUUAGACUUUAUCAGCUAACUGUUUAGUUUUGAGCUUUUCUUUAAUGCACUUUUCAGUUAACAAGUCAACAUCAAUUUCUUUUGCUGUAAAAAAGCUUGAGGAAGGUGGCUUGAGAUUCGUCUUAAGUGUUUAUAGCCUCUUGCCUAUGCAGUCGGAGAGAUUGAGGUCUGCAGCGUAGAUCCUUCGGGGCUAAAUGCAUUUGUGCUAAGUUAUAGCAUUUUAUAGACAACUUGUUGACUAUGAUUUGUCUUGUAGCUUACUCGCUUAUGUUAUUUUACCUACGCUUAGGAUGUUGACGCAUGAGAUAUACGC
rnacentral:rRNA from 1 species